CGGAUGUAGCCAAGUGGAUUAAGGCAAU
rnacentral:tRNA from 1 species